CAAAAGCAUAAGUGAGACAACCAACUGUUGAAAAAGGCAGUUAGCUACAGCAGUGACUGGAAACCUGCUGUCCGGGUGUGUAAAAAUACACACAGAUCAUUCUGGUCAAACUAACAGUACAGGAAAUAUUCAUUUAGAGCUGAGAGCAUCAAACACAAAUAGAGUUUAACCCGAGUGCUGGACUUUGUGCUGAAACUGAGAGAGAGAGGAGAGGAGAAUGGCUCUGAGCACUGAGCAAGCUCUGGCACUGCUACUGAUCUUAAACAGCGCUCACCUCACAGCAGCUUGCCCUGCACCAGACCAUGUUGAUGUCUCUGGCUCAGCUGGGGGGAGAGCAGUGCUGCCCUGUUCUUACACCCCCACCCCUGGGCAGGAUGUAGCAGUCAGAUGGUAUGCAUAUCCAGAUCAGGGAGGACCUGUUCUAUUAAUCGAGUCAAAGAGACGAUCCUCAGCACCCAUCCCUGCGCAGUGGAGCGGCCGAGUGAAGCUGCCUGAUGAAGUCUCCUCUGGAAACGGCUCUCUGCUAAUCUCUGAGCUCAGACUGGAGGACACUGGGGAUUACACGUGUGACAUGUGGAUCAAUGGGAUAUGUGUCACUCACAGGAAUGUUAACCUGACAGUUCAAGGACCUCCAAAGAGAGAUUCAACUACUGCAACAACCCAGAAAACCAGCCCAUGCCCAACCCAGCAGGGGAAUGCAGCAGCACAGAGGAGAUCGUUCUGCAUGAAACCGCUUUGAUAACUGGAUUGUAAUUGGAUUGCAUGUACCUGUAUUUAGUGAGUGUUGUGAGUUAAGCGGAAGUUCAAUUAUUCCUGUGUGUUGCUGCUGCUGGUUCCCUAUGCCAGUAUGGUCCAUUGUGAAAGAGUAUUGCUGUUACUGUAACCCGCUGCAUCCUGCCUGUGCCUGCAUCUCUUCAUUUCUAUAUCAUUUUAAUAAGAGCGUUUUAGCAUUUUGAUAUAUUUCAGGUUCUAUUCAUCCCUGAUAGCUAUUAGUUUAUUUUUUGUAUAACUUAGUUGGUGCUGUUUACUAUAGAUAAUUGUUAAUAACAGUUUUAUAUUAGUGAUGAGAAGACAGUUUAGUAAUUUGUAUUAAUUUCUUAAUUUUUUUUUAUUACUGAUUGAAAAGUACAUUUGUUAAUUUUUUGCUUAGUAUAACUUAGUUAUUCCUGAUUACUAUUAAAUGUUAGUUGCACAGUACAAUAUCUUAUUGCUUUUCCUUUUUUGCUUAUAAAUAAUAAAAUAUUUAGCUGUG